rnacentral:rRNA from 1 species
CGCGUAGGCGGAUAUUUAAGUCGGGGGUGAAAGCCCAGGGCUCAACCCUGGAAUUGCCUUCGAUACUGGAUAUCUUGAGUUCGGGAGAGGUGAGUGGAAUGCCGAGUGUAGAGGUGAAAUUCGUAGAUAUUCGGCGGAACACCAGUGGCGAAGGCGACUCACUGGCCCGAUACUGACGCUGAGGCGCGAAAGCGUGGGGAGCAAACAGGAUUAGAUACCCUGGUAGUCCACGCUGUAAACGAUGAGUGCUAGUUGUCGGCAUGCAUGCAUGUCGGUGACGCAGCUAACGCAUUAAGCACUCCGCCUGGGGAGUACGGUCGCAAGAUUAAA